rnacentral:rRNA from 1 species
GACGGAGGAUGCAAGCGUUAUCCGGAAUGAUUGGGCGUAAAGCGUCCGCAGGUGGCAGUUCAAGUCUGCUGUCAAAGACCGGGGCUUAACUUCGGAAAGGCAGUGGAAACUGAACAGCUAGAGUAUGGUAGGGGCAGAGGGAAUUCCUGGUGUAGCGGUGAAAUGCGUAGAGAUCAGGAAGAACAUCGGUGGCGAAGGCGGAUCUCUGGGCCGAUACUGACGCUGAGGAGCGAAAGCGUGGGGAGCGAACAGG